CAUAGGCGGCGCGAUUCGACAUUAGAGUUUGAUCCUGGCUCAGAUUGAACGCUGGCGGCAGGCCUAACACAUGCAAGUCGAACGGUAACAGGAAGCAGCUUGCUGCUUUGCUGACGAGUGGCGGACGGGUGAGUAAUGUCUGGGAAACUGCCUGAUGGAGGGGGAUAACUACUGGAAACGGUAGCUAAUACCGCAUAACGUCGCAAGACCAAAGAGGGGGACCUUCGGGCCUCUUGCCAUCAGAUGUGCCCAGAUGGGAUUAGCUUGUUGGUGGGGUAACGGCUCACCAAGGCGACGAUCCCUAGCUGGUCUGAGAGGAUGACCAGCCACACUGGAACUGAGACACGGUCCAGACUCCUACGGGAGGCAGCAGUGGGGAAUAUUGCACAAUGGGCGCAAGCCUGAUGCAGCCAUGCCGCGUGUAUGAAGAAGGCCUUCGGGUUGUAAAGUACUUUCAGCGGGGAGGAAGGUGUUGUGGUUAAUAGCCACAGCAAUUGACGUUACCCGCAGAAGAAGCACCGGCUAACUCCGUGCCAGCAGCCGCGGUAAUACGGAGGGUGCAAGCGUUAAUCGGAAUUACUGGGCGUAAAGCGCACGCAGGCGGUCUGUUAAGUCAGAUGUGAAAUCCCCGGGCUCAACCCGGGAACUGCAUCUGAUACUGGCAGGCUUGAGUCUCGUAGAGGGGGGUAGAAUUCCAGGUGUAGCGGUGAAAUGCGUAGAGAUCUGGAGGAAUACCGGUGGCGAAGGCGGCCCCCUGGACGAAGACUGACGCUCAGGUGCGAAAGCGUGGGGAGCAACCAGGAUUAGAUACCCUGGUAGUCCACGCCGUAAACGAUGUCGACUUGGAGGUUGUGCCCUUGAGGCGUGGCUUCCGGAGCUAACGCGUUAAGUCGACCGCCUGGGGAGUACGGCCGCAAGGUUAAAACUCAAAUGAAUUGACGGGGGCCCGCACAAGCGGUGGAGCAUGUGGUUUAAUUCGAUGCAACGCGAGAACCUUACCUGGUCUUGACAUCCACAGAACUUGGCAGAGAUGCCUUGUGCCUUCGGAACUGGUGAGAACAGGUGCUGCAUGCUGUCGUCAGCUCGUGUUGUGAUGUGGGUUAGUUCCGCACGAGGCGCAACCUUUAUCUUUUGUUGCCAGCGGGUUCCGGUC
rnacentral:rRNA from 1 species